rnacentral:lncRNA from 1 species
AGAUUAGAGAGUAGUGGUGGGCUUCCAGAGGAGAAUUUGAAGAAACAAAGGAGAGGUAGUCUUACCAACAAUGUGUGAUCAGUGGUGGCUAUGAUGGGCAGCCCCUGCCGGGCACAAUGAAAAUCAUAUGCUUGAGCUAUCGGCGCCUUGGGUUGCCUGGGGCAGUUUGUGAAUUGAAUAGCUUAUGGGAGCUACGUUGUCCCUAGCUAGUCGUUGUUAGAGACAAGGUUCUUUAGCAAUUUAGUGGAUGGAUUGAUUCAAACCUUGCGGAU